GUGCUUGCUUCGGCACCACAUAUACUAAAAUUGGAACAAUAUAGAGAAGAUUAGCAUGGCUCCUGAGCAAGGAUGACACGCAAAUUCGUGACGAGUUCUAUUAUUUA
ensembl:snRNA U6 U6 spliceosomal RNA